rnacentral:rRNA from 1 species
GGGCCCGCACAAGCGGUGGAGCAUGUGGUUUAAUUCGAUGCAACGCGAAGAACCUUACCUACUCUUGACAUCCAGAGAACUUUCCAGAGAUGGAUUGGUGCCUUCGGGAACUCUGAGACAGGUGCUGCAUGGCUGUCGUCAGCUCGUGUUGUGAAAUGUUGGGUUAAGUCCCGCAACGAGCGCAACCCUUAUCCUUGUUUGCCAGCGAGUAAUGUCGGGAACUCCAGGGAGACUGCCGGUGAUAAACCGGAGGAAGGUGGGGACGACGUCAAGUCAUCAUGGCCCUUACGAGUAGGGCUACACACGUGCUACAAUGGCGCAUACAGAGGGCAGCCAACUUGCGAGAGUGAGCGAAUCCCAAAAAGUGCGUCGUAGUCCGGAUCGGAGUCUGCAACUCGACUCCGUGAAGUCGGAAUCGCUAGUAAUCGUGGAU